AAGAAAUACUGUUGGUGAUACUUGUUUCUGUAUUUCUGGAGUGUUUUUUGUUCUUUCUUUUUCCUGAAAAAAAGAUAUUCGAGUGUCUUCAAUCUAAGAUAGUUUGACAAUCGGUGCAGAUACAAGGAAUGCUGAAGUGCACAAAAAUAAGUGUCUGCCAGUCCAUUGCAGGACGAAAGCUGCCUGGCAUUGCGUCACUGGACUGCAGAGAGGCAGGAAGAGCCAGGUUUGUCACCAGGAGCCCUUACGCAUACUCUGGAGUGGACACUGAAAAGUUUAAGUUACACAUAUGUAGUGCACAACUUAUGAAGAUGAGUCCUCCAGAUGAUGCAAGCCAAGUGAGUGGAGUCCAGCAAAAAGGACAUCCCUGAAGAAUUGUGUCACACUGUGUCUUGGUCUUAUUCCUGAUAGAAGAAACCGUAAUACUAUAAAAUACAAUUAACUUGCUUUUGUAUAUUCAGAGAUGAUACUCCCAGGAAGAAUGGUGAAGAAGCGGUAUCUUGUUUUAGCACUUGGACCUGAGAAAGCGUUACUUGUCCCAACACCUUAGUCACCCAGUGAGAUCUUACCAAACCUCUGGUUUUGCUUUACUCAAUUCCUGGACUCACUAUACAAAGGUUUUGAACGACAGCUUGAUUCAUUUCUUCAGGAAAGAGAUGUAUGUAAAGACACCCAGGAAUGACAAACUUGCAUUCUGUAAGAUCAGUCACUGAAAGACUGAGUGCAGAAAUGAUGGCUAGAAAAUUAAGGAGGGGAAUAAGGAAAGUUAAAGGAGUUGUGCAUGACAGGCAUUAACUUUUAAUCCACUGAGAAUGCUGAGUGUAUUUUUUGGAUCUGCAUUUCCUCAUCCAGGUAAUCAGGUAUAUAAUCCAGGUAAUAAACUUCACAAGUUAAUUUCUUGAAACACGGAAAGGUUUCCAAAAAGCAUUAUUAUCUGGAAAAGACAUUGUCUUUUUCAAAUUGCACAUUUGUGCUGCACUACAACUAGUCUGAGAGAGCUUGUCUGGUAAUCACAUAAUUUUCUGUUACAUUGGGAAAAUAAUCAUUAUUUUAGAGCCUUUUCUGUACCAGUUCUGUUUCUGCAGUGCAGGAAGAUAGUUAUUGGCUUUUUCCAAUGCACUGAUGGCAAAAUAGGCUUUUCAAGAACAUGAAAUUAAUAGCUUUCUCAUUUCUCCCUGCUUGAAUACUACUAUAGAUUAUUGAGGACCUCAGCAGCAAAAUUUUUCUGGAAAGAAAAGGCUACGCUAUACUUCAAAGGAAAAUGAAAUGCCUGAUUGUAAGUAAAUAAUGGCAACACAAACAUAGCUGUAAAUGUUACAGCUCUUUGCUUAGCCUUCUCAUCUCCCCAUGAAAGCUGUGUUUUUGUCUACAUUGUGACCUUCGAGUGGAAAAGGAUAGGAGUAUUAUUUAUUCCUGUUAAUAUCAGCUGGCAAUCACCUUCAGGACAGCAUUCAUUAAUUACUCUGUGUACUUGAAAGCAGCAAGUAUUUUCUCCAUACAGAGGAUCUAUACUGCAUGUUGUACCUUUUGGACCUCUUGGAUUUGUAGGGAAGUUGGUUUCCCUCAUGGUAUUUGAGAAGGCUGUAAGCCACAAGUACCAGUGAAUCAAGCAGCACAGUAAAGAAGGAAAAUAACGUAAUAUCAUAGAAUCAUAGAAUGGCUUGGGUUGGAAGGGACCUCAAAAAAUCUUUCAUUUAUGUUCAGAGGAACUAUUUAUCAGAUACCGACUAUCACCAUCAUGCAGAUGUAGUGUACAGAUGAGUAUCAUCAUCAUACAUGAGUGAGUGUCCCUGUCAUGCAUUCUGAGCAUGGAUUUACUCUGGGACCACAAGUCUGUAGCUUGUUUCCCCUCCUUUCUUCCUGCACCACUGCCUUGGGAAUAGCACUUGCUGUUCCCAUCAUGUGAGGCUUGCACUGUUCUCCUACCUCCUAAUACUGCUUGCAGCUGCAUGCAGCCUUUCAUGUCUACUUCAGCUUGGAGUUGUAGGUCUGCUGGAAAAUCCAGCCACGAGACACUUUAAGUAGCAGUUUGAUCUUUGUCAGUGAGAUUGACUCAAUUUAGACACAUACUGUUGAGAGGUCAAACCUGGACUGGAAUAUGUUUAGGGAUAUCAGAACAUUGUAAGGGGGAAAGACGGACAUUGUAACUAGCAAGUGUUUGAUUCCAGCAGAGAGUCUUGAAAAUGGGGAUGUUUAAUAGACCGUGAGGAAGUUAAAAGGAAGGAUUAAGACAACAGGUGGGGUCAAGUGCACUUUUCAUAUUUAUACAAUUUAUAGUGUAGUGCUGUAAUUAAAAAUGCUCCUUCACUCUCAUGGUUGGCCAUGGCAUCAGAGCUAUGCCUGGUGGACAGUGUUAGUCCUGGAAGGGCUUCUGUUACUUGUCCAGACCACAUGAAAGUUUUAAAAUUUGUGUAUGUGAUUAAACUUAAAAGACAGAGGGAAGAAAAUAACUGAAUCAUUAAGUAUCUUGAAUAAAUAACGAGGCCCCAUCUGGAGCACUCCAUCCAAGCCUGAGGCUCCCAGCACAAAAAGGAUGUGAAUCUCUUGAAAUGGGUCCAGAGGAGGGACACAAAGAUGAUCAGAAGGCUGGAGCACAUCUCCUAUGAGGAAAGGUGGAGGGAACUGGGCUUGUUUAGCUUGGAGAAGAGAAGACUCCGGGGAGACCUCACUGCAGCCUUCUGAUACUUAAAGGGAGAGCAUAAACAGGAGGGGGAAUCGCUGUUUAUGAGGGUGGAUAGUGGCAGGACAAGGGGGAAUGAUUUUAAACUGAGACUGGGGAGGUUUAGGUUGGAUAUUAGGAAGAAGUUUUUCACACAGAGGGUGGUGACACACUGGAACAGGUUGCCCAAGGAGGCUGUGGAUGCCCCAUCCCUGGAGGCAUUCAAGGCCAGGCUGGAUGUGGCUCUGGGCAGCCUGGUCUGGUGGAUGGCGACCCUGCACAUAGCAGGGGCGUUGAAGCUUGACGAUCAUUGUGGUUCUUUUCAACCCAGGCCAUUCUAUGAUUCUAUGAAAUAAAUUUAACCACUUUCUACUCUGAAGUAACAGGUAUUUGUGAUAGCUGUCUGGAAAGCAAAAUUUUCCAAAGAAAGUUUCAGUUAUUUUGCCAUAUUCAGAGCCUAUUUUUAAUGGGUAUUUUUAAACAAGUUACCUGAAAAACUUUGAUAACAUUUAUCAGAAACGUUUUGAUAUCCCAAAUGUGAAAGCUAUAAGCAACAUUUAAAAAUAAAAGGACAUUUUUUUCUGUAAAAAAUGUUUCUCUUGACUAUUUUUACAGUCUCUAGCAAACACUCAAGAGUUAUGUAACUCCAUUAAAUGCCUAGAAUAAUAUUUCC
ensembl:lncRNA